GAUGAACGCUGGCGGCGUGCCUAACACAUGCAAGUCGAGCGAGGACUUCGGUCCUAGCGGCGGACGGGUGAGUAACGCGUGGGUAAUCUGCCUCAUACACACGGAUAACGUACCGAAAGGUACGCUAAUACGAGAUAAAGUUAAGAAAUGGCAUCAUUUCUUAAUCAAAGAAUUUCGGUAUGAGAUGAGCCCGCGUCCCAUUAGCUAGUUGGUAAGGUAAAAACUUACCAAGGCGACGAUGGGUAGCCGACCUGAGAGGGUGAUCGGCCACACUGGAACUGAGACACGGUCCAGACUCCUACGGGAGGCAGCAGUGGGGAAUAUUGCACAAUGGGCGAAAGCCUGAUGCAGCAACGCCGCGUGAGCGAUGAAGGUCUUCGGAUCGUAAAGCUCUGUCCUCAAGGAAGAAUUUUGACGGUACUUGAGGAGGAAGCCCCGGCUAACUACGUG
rnacentral:rRNA from 1 species